AUAUUCGAUCAUGCCAAGUUCGAUUGGCUUUUUUCUAGCCGCAGAUCGAAAAUGAAGCGUUUCUCAGCCUUGGUGAGAAGCCUGGUAGAUAAGUGUGCUUGGGCGAGAGUAGUACUAGGAUCGGUGACCUCCUGGGAAGUCCUCGUGUUGCACCUC
rnacentral:rRNA from 2 species